rnacentral:rRNA from 1 species
CCUACGGGGUGCAGCAGUGGGGAAUAUUGGACAAUGGGGGCAACCCUGAUCCAGCCAUGCCGCGUGAGUGAUGAAGGCCCUAGGGUUGUAAAGCUCUUUCGCCAGGGACGAUAAUGACGGUACCUGGAUAAGAAGCCCCGGCUAACUUCGUGCCAGCAGCCGCGGUAAUACGAAGGGGGCGAGCGUUGUUCGGAUUUACUGGGCGUAAAGCGCGCGUAGGCGGCUAGGUAAGUCGGUUGUGAAAUCCCUCGGCUGAACCGAGGUCCCGCAUCCGAUACUGUCUGGCUCGAGUCUAGGAGAGGAAAGCGGAAUUCCCAGUGUAGCGGUGAAAUGCGUAGAUAUUGGGAGGAACACCGGUGGCGAAGGCGGCUUUCCGGACUAGUACUGACGCUGAGGCGCGAAAGCUAGGGGAGCGAACGGGAUUAGAUACCCGAGUAGUC